rnacentral:rRNA from 1 species
CAGGCGCGAAACCUUUACACUGCACGACAGUGCGAUAAGGGGAUCCCGAGUGCGCAGGCAUAGAGCCCUCGCUUUUGUCCACCGUAAGGAGGUACAGGAAUAAGGGCUGGGCAAGACCGGUGCCAGCCGCCGCGGUAAUACCGGCAGCUCGAGUGAUGGCCGAUUUUAUUGGGCCUAAAGCGUCCGUAGCCGGCCGCGCAAGUCCAUUGGGAAAUCCACCCGCCCAACGGGUGGGCGUCCGGCGGAAACUGUGUGGCUUGGGACCGGAAGGCUCGAAGGGUACGUCCGGGGUAGGAGUGAAAUCCCGUAAUCCCGGACGGACCACCGAUGGCGAAAGCACCUCGGGAAGACGGAUCCGACAGUGAGGGACGAAAGCUAGGGUCUCGAACCGGAUUAGAUACCCGGGUAGUCCUAACCGUAAACCAUGUUCCCUAGGUGUGGCACCCGCUACGAGUCCCGCUGUACCGUAGCAAGCCGUAACCGAACCGCUUGU